rnacentral:lncRNA from 1 species
GAGCGGGGAGCAAGGCCUGCGGGGAGGCGCAGGAUGGACGCGUUGGCUGUCAUGAUGUAGGACCUCCUGACCUAGAACCAUGCCCGGCGCAGGGAGAACAACGAGCUUACGGACCGGGUGCGGGGGCUGCUGUGCGAGAAAGCCUACCUGCUGGCCCGGGAGCGUUCGCCGGCCCACCUGGUGGCUUUCCCUGGACGUUUAACGGCGACUCCGCCCGGCCUCCCGACUUUUUGAUGCAGGCGUUCUCUUACAUGACUUUCUUCGAGGCUAGAUUCUCGAAAGACAUCCUGAAGGUGGCUUUCUUAAUUAGCUGCCUCACCGGCUGGCGGAGCAGUUCGUAGUCGCCUACAUCGAGAGGGAGAGCCCCGUCCUGGCUCAGUACUGGGGCUUCGUGGACGCGCUGUAGCGGGUCUUCGCCGUCGUGGGUAGGAAACAGUCGGGCCGGAUCCCCGGUGUCUGGGGAGCGGCUGCCGGCCGGGCCCGCGCGAGCCGCUUCACUCCUACAAGCCCGGCUCACUAGUUCCAAGCUGCUGGACUUUGACCCUCGCUGGGAAGCUUGAUCGCCGCCUGUUCUCGCCAAUCUCUAUGCCUUUGCACUGCCCAGCAACCCGGUCACUGCCCAGGACCUGUUAAAAGUUGAAUGGACCUCCCAGAAUCACGCCGCUGCCACCGCCGUUUCUAGAGACGGCUUUUGGCCACCUUUGAGAAUCAGGGUCAAACUUGGAAGGGCCUGCAUUUGUCACACUUCCUCGGACACUAAUUUGGAUAGUUCAGGCCCAGAGACGGCUUCCCGGGUUAGUGUGCCUGACAACACUGAAGAAAAAUUGUGACAUUUUCCUUCCCCAGAAUUACUUCGUUUUAUACAUUUCACUUCUCUUCUGAAAUCACAGCAAUGCCAGUUUGCGCCUUUUGGUCUGAGGAACGCAGGCCCUGGCCACUACCAGGAAAAAGUAUUUACUUUUAAAACUUGAAUGUAUAUCUUUACCGUAUGCCUAGUACAGUAGUGCUUGGAAGAAACAGAUUAGUAAGACAAAAUAUAUGUCUUCAAGAACACUUACGUUCUGAGAAAGAAUUCUGAAUGCAGAUUCUAAUGUCUGGUAAAAUGCUUUACAGUGUAAAGAAUGCAUAUAUGAUUCUUAUUUUAUGGCAUUUUAAACUUUCCACCCCACGGUUUUAAAGUGUUAAUAUAUGUUAAAAAUAUAUGCAAUUUAUAAAG